rnacentral:tmRNA from 1 species
GGGGCUGACCUGGUUUCGACGGGAUCAAGUGGCUUUUAACUGCAUGUCGGACUGAGCACCUCCGCUAUACGGCUCAAACUUGCUUAAACGCAAACAAUACAAAUUAUCGCCCAGCUUUAGCAGUAGCUUAAGUUUUACCCCCUCGCAAGAGGACGGGCUGCUUCACCUAUGGACUCUAGAUAAAUAGGACUCGAAGUAUAACCCUUAUGUAGAUAUAUUUUGCGUCUGCCUCGUGCGCAAAAUGAACCCCAGAGGAUCGUCUUGUGUAGCUUUGCAAGCUGUGCGAAGCAAGAUUAAACUUAAACAACUUUACUAAACAUGUAGACGUUAGGAGUAGCGUGGUUUCGGACUGGAGUUCGAUUCUCCACAGCUCCACCA